rnacentral:snRNA from 2 species
UAAUGAUGACUUACGUUGUUUCAACCUUAUCUACAUUAUCUGAAAACAUAAUUGAAGAAGA